ACUGAAAUGCUUAACACAGAAGAAAUCAACAGGGGUCCCAAAAUGCAACUUUAAAAACAGCUUAAAAGGCUUCUUUAUACAUUUGGAGAAGAUGCACAGUAUGAUGUUUUCUUUGUCGGUACAUUCAAGUUAAAUUUUGAGAUGUUGGUAAGUUUUUCUGUAGCCACAAAGAACAGACUUUUUUGUUUAAAGGAUGAAGGUAUUAAAAAAUAUGCAUGAUAGAAUGCAUGUUGAAUGUCAUCUGAAGAUUUUAUUUGUACUUUCAGUUACAGCAGACUGCUCUGUGAAGAAAUCAAAAUAUUUAGACAGUGGUCUAAAUGCUGUGAGACUUGGGGUAGAAUCACUGGAACUAGAAACUCAUCCUUUUUCUUUGGAAAUUUCUUUUGGAAAUCUUUGGUGUCUUCAUAAAUCUUGUAAGAGAAACAGGAAAGAGGUGCAUCCAAAUGUGAAUUGACUUUCAAAACAUGCCCUUUGGAGUUACUAUGAUGAAGUUGUAAUAGAGUCCCUGACAGAGAAUCUACUUUUGACCGUAGAAGAGACUUUUUACUCAAGGUUAAAUUCUACACAUAAAUACUUACGAAUACUGUGCAGAACCAUCUAAGAGCAUAUUCAAUAUAUUUAUUCUGAAAAUAGAUUUUUUUUUGUCAACCAGGAGUGAGACCAGUCCUAAUCUAUGGUACUGAAGUAAUGUAUCUGACAGUGAACUUUCAGUUUUAAUGCCUCAAGAGACUUCUUUAUUAAACUUUGUAAUAAAUCAACCAACCUUGUAUAAGGAUCAGAUUAGGGAUUUGCAUACUGGUAAAAGGUUGAGCAAAUCUCUAUGUUGUUAGUACUUUUAAUUUGCAUCUUUAAUGAGCUGUAGCAUCACCAGAAUUGCUGGUUUGGCUUCCCUGUACUUGACUUCAUAGGACCAGGGUUUUACUUUUGAUCUUCCUGCAGUCUUGUUUGUAUGUGAAGAGAAUAUUGAAGCAUGUGACUUGAAGGGCCAAAAAUCGUAUAUAUUUCUUGCAUAUCCCACACAAAUUUGCACACAGGAAGGAUAUUUUCAUAGAGCAGUCUAAUGCAAGAAGAAAGUUGUUUUUAAUCAGAACAUUAGAAUUUCAUUAAUUUUAACUAUGUAAACCUAAGGAGUAAAAGCAAGUUUUCAUGUUGACAUACUCAAAUUCUAGGCUAGCAGGAUAAUGUUUCCCUUGCAACUAGAAAUGCUGAAAGUGUUAUGCAUUAUUUUUUAUAACUCAAACAUUGGUUUGCAACUCAAUAAUGAUUAUGCUCAAAAGGACCAUUUCUGUGUACUUUCACUGUAUCAAUGGAAGUAUCUUCUUUGGAAAGCUGGUGCUUUCCAGUGAGAAUCCUGAUGAAGAUCAAUGUAAAUACUUAAUGGGAAAAUGCCUUUAAACUUGGUUCUUCUAAAAUCUCCUUAGAUAAGAGACGAUAAUGUGUUUUUGGAGAUGUGACUAUUAGCUGUGGAGCUUUGAUGAGGAAUAGAAAACAAGAAUUAUUAACUGAUGUGAAGAAAAAGAAGGUGCUGUUAAAAAUUACUGGUUCAGGUUUACUGGGACAUUUUUAGUUCCUUAAUUUGAACUUAGAACUUCUAUCCCUACAGACAAAUUUUUCACUCUUGGCAAUGUAGAAGUGCUGAUAAAUUGUUGAUGUGAUUACAGAUCCUUCAGAGUUGUAUAGUAGAAACAGUAUCUGGUUGACAUUCAGUCAUUGAAGUGACUAUAACCCACUGAUGCUAUAAAACCAUGAUAAGAACAGACAUAGUCCUGUAGUAUACCUAUCUUCAGUAGACAAAUGAGAAUAUUGGUGUGAGUAGAAACUGUAUUUUAGAUCCCAAUGUGAGGCAAUACACAUAACUUCUGAAAAUAUUGUAAAAUUUAUUCAGGAGAUUGACUUUGAUGCCCUGGAAGGUAGUUUUCUGGCCUUUUUCUUAUGUUUUUAUAUGCAACAAUAUAUUACAAUAGCUGUAGCUGCACUGUAUGCCUGAAUCAGGACCCAAGGGUUGAAUUUCAAAUGCUUUUAUAUUCAUACGUAAUAUGUUAGCUGACCAAAAGCCAUUCCUGAAAAACUCACCACUAACGUUAGUACUCAAAAAUAAAUUGCAUAAAUAAAAUAUAGGCCACUUGAUUUUAGCAGCAUACUGAUAGACAUUAAAAUUAAAAACUCUUCAGCUCUGACCUUUAGUCUAAUUAUUCAAAUAUGUCUCCACAGUUGAAGGAGGUAUGAAGAAAUAGAAAUAGAAAAUUUUACAUAUCUUGCAAUUUUAAAUAUCUUGCAAAUUUAAUUUUUAUCUCAUUUUUAUCUCACUCUCUUGAGAGUGGUUGCUGGACUUCCAGGGAAUUAAAUAUUAUGAAGAUAAAUACUCACAUAGAAUAAACAUUUAAGACGUAUAUGUGCUUGCCUUGUUUCUGAGUUAUUUACAAAAUUUUUCUAACAGAUUGUUAUUGCCUUUUACGCUUUUAACAUUAAUGCUCUAUGUGAAUAGCUAGAGGAAAAAAAUCACAUUUAGGGAAAAAUAAAUAAACUUUCACAAAUCUUUCACAGAGGUUCAUUAUUCAUAUUUUUUUUUACUAAAAUUCUGAGCAUCUGUCUCCAGUUAUUUCCAUGUUUUACACAGGUUUAAAUAAAAAAAAAAAAA
ensembl:lncRNA